rnacentral:rRNA from 1 species
GGUUAAGUGACUAAGCGUACACGGUGGAUGCCCUGGCAGUCAGAGGCGAUGAAGGACGUGCUAAUCUGCGAAAAGCGUCGGUAAGGUGAUAUGAACCGUUAUAACCGGCGAUGUCCGAAUGGGGAAACCCAGUGCAAUUCGUUGCACUAUCGUUAACUGAAUACAUAGGUUAACGAGGCGAACCGGGGGAACUGAAACAUCUAAGUACCCCGAGGAAAAGAAAUCAACCGAGAUUCCCCCAGUAGCGGCGAGCGAACGGGGAGCAGCCCAGAGUCUGAAUCAGCUUGUGUGUUAGUGGAACGGUCUGGAAAGUCCGACGGUACAGGGUGAUAGUCCCGUACACCAAAAUGCACAGGCUGUGAACUCGAAGAGUAGGGCGGGACACGUGGUAUCCUGUCUGAAUAUGGGGGGACCAUCCUCCAAGGCUAAAUACUCCUGACUGACCGAUAGUGAACCAGUACCGUGAGGGAAAGGCGAAAAGAACCCCGGCGAGGGGAGUGAAAAAGAACCUGAAACCGUGUACGUACAAGCAGUGGGAGCACCUUCGGGUGUGACUGCGUACCUUUUGUAUAAUGGGUCAGCGACUUAUAUUCUGUAGCAAGGUUAACCGUAUAGGGGAGCCGCAGGGAAACCGAGUCUUAACUGGGCGUUAAGUUGCAGGGUAUAGACCCGAAACCCGGUGAUCUAGCCAUGGGCAGGUUGAAGGUUGGGUAACACUAACUGGAGGACCGAACCGACUAAUGUUGAAAAAUUAGCGGAUGACUUGUGGCUGGGGGUGAAAGGCCAAUCAAACCGGGAGAUAGCUGGUUCUCCCCGAAAGCUAUUUAGGUAGCGCCUCGUGAAUUCAUCUUCGGGGGUAGAGCACUGUUUCGGCUAGGGGGUCAUCCCGACUUACCAACCCGAUGCAAACUACGAAUACCGAAGAAUGUUAUCACGGGAGACACACGGCGGGUGCUAACGUCCGUCGUGAAGAGGGAAACAACCCAGACCGCCAGCUAAGGUCCCAAAGUCAUGGUUAAGUGGGAAACGAUGUGGGAAGGCACAGACAGCCAGGAUGUUGGCUUAGAAGCAGCCAUCAUUUAAAGAAAGCGUAAUAGCUCACUGGUCGAGUCGGCCUGCGCGGAAGAUGUAACGGGGCUAAACCAUGCACCGAAGCUGCGGCAGCGACACUAUGUGUUGUUGGGUAGGGGAGCGUUCUGUAAGCCUGCGAAGGUGACCUGUGAGGGUUGCUGGAGGUAUCAGAAGUGCGAAUGCUGACAUAAGUAACGAUAAAGCGGGUGAAAAGCCCGCUCGCCGGAAGACCAAGGGUUCCUGUCCAACGUUAAUCGGGGCAGGGUGAGUCGACCCCUAAGGCGAGGCCGAAAGGCGUAGUCGAUGGGAAACAGGUUAAUAUUCCUGUACUUGGUGUUACUGCGAAGGGGGGACGGAGAAGGCUAUGUUAGCCGGGCGACGGUUGUCCCGGUUUAAGCAUGUAGGCUGGUUGUCCAGGCAAAUCCGGAUAAUCAAGGCUGAGGUGUGAUGACGAGGCACUACGGUGCUGAAGUAACAAAUGCCCUGCUUCCAGGAAAAGCCUCUAAGCAUCAGGUAACAUCAAAUCGUACCCCAAACCGACACAGGUGGUCAGGUAGAGAAUACCAAGGCGCUUGAGAGAACUCGGGUGAAGGAACUAGGCAAAAUGGUGCCGUAACUUCGGGAGAAGGCACGCUGGUGUGUAGGUGAAGUCCCUGCGGAUGGAGCUGAGACCAGUCGAAGAUACCAGCUGGCUGCAACUGUUUAUUAAAAACACAGCACUGUGCAAACACGAAAGUGGACGUAUACGGUGUGACGCCUGCCCGGUGCCGGAAGGUUAAUUGAUGGGGUUAUCCGUAAGGAGAAGCUCUUGAUCGAAGCCCCGGUAAACGGCGGCCGUAACUAUAACGGUCCUAAGGUAGCGAAAUUCCUUGUCGGGUAAGUUCCGACCUGCACGAAUGGCGUAAUGAUGGCCAGGCUGUCUCCACCCGAGACUCAGUGAAAUUGAACUCGCUGUGAAGAUGCAGUGUACCCGCGGCAAGACGGAAAGACCCCGUGAACCUUUACUAUAGCUUGACACUGAACAUUGAGCCUUGAUGUGUAGGAUAGGUGGGAGGCUUUGAAGCGUGGACGCCAGUCUGCGUGGAGCCAACCUUGAAAUACCACCCUUUAAUGUUUGAUGUUCUAACGUUGGCCCCUGACCGGGGUUGCGGACAGUGUCUGGUGGGUAGUUUGACUGGGGCGGUCUCCUCCCAAAGCGUAACGGAGGAGCACGAAGGUUAGCUAAUCCUGGUCGGACAUCAGGAGGUUAGUGCAAUGGCAUAAGCUAGCUUGACUGCGAGCGUGACGGCGCGAGCAGGUGCGAAAGCAGGUCAUAGUGAUCCGGUGGUUCUGAAUGGAAGGGCCAUCGCUCAACGGAUAAAAGGUACUCCGGGGAUAACAGGCUGAUACCGCCCAAGAGUUCAUAUCGACGGCGGUGUUUGGCACCUCGAUGUCGGCUCAUCACAUCCUGGGGCUGAAGUAGGUCCCAAGGGUAUGGCUGUUCGCCAUUUAAAGUGGUACGCGAGCUGGGUUUAGAACGUCGUGAGACAGUUCGGUCCCUAUCUGCCGUGGGCGCUGGAGAAUUGAGGGGGGCUGCUCCUAGUACGAGAGGACCGGAGUGGACGCAUCACUGGUGUUCGGGUUGUCAUGCCAAUGGCACUGCCCGGUAGCUAAAUGCGGAAGAGAUAAGUGCUGAAAGCAUCUAAGCACGAAACUUGCCCCGAGAUGAGUUCUCCCUGAGACUUUAAGUCUCCUGAAGGAACGUUGAAGACGACGACGUUGAUAGGCCGGGUGUGUAAGCGCAGCGAUGCGUUGAGCUAACCGGUACUAAUGAACCGUGAGGCUUAACCUU